rnacentral:rRNA from 1 species
AACGAACGCUGGCGGCAUGCCUAACACAUGCAAGUCGAACGAGACCUUCGGGUCUCGUGGCGCACGGGUGCGUAACGCGUGGGAACCUGCCCUUAGGUUCGGAAUAACUCCCCGAAAGGGGCGCUAAUACCGGAUAAUGUCUUCGGACCAAAGAUUUAUCGCCUUUGGAUGGGCCCGCGUUGGAUUAGCUAGUUGGUAGGGUAAAAGCCUACCAAGGCGACGAUCCAUAGCUGGUCUGAGAGGAUGAUCAGCAACACUGGGACUGAGACACGGCCCAGACUCCUACGGGAGGCAGCAGUGGGGAAUAUUGGACAAUGGGCGAAAGCCUGAUCCAGCCAUGCCGCGUGAGUGAUGAAGGCCUUAGGGUUGUAAAGCUCUUUUACCCGGGAUGAUAAUGACAGUACCGGGAGAAUAAGCUCCGGCUAACUCCGUG